rnacentral:rRNA from 1 species
AAAGAAGAAUGGAGGAUGAGGUUUAGAGACUUUCACAGUUUCAACCUUGCUUUACUAGCAAAAUAGUGUUGGCGACUACUUCAGAACCCUGAAUCUUUGUGUGCACAGGUCCUUAGUGCAAAAUAUUAUCCGGAUGGUAACAUACUUAAUGCGGGUCCAAAGAAAGGUUCCUCUUUUACUUGGCAGAGCAUUGUGAUGGGUAUACAAACUUUUAAAAGAGGAUGUAUUUGAUGGGUUGGCAAAGGCUCACAUAUAAAUAUUUGGAAUGACCCUUGGAUUCCAAUGAGCGAGACACGAAAAGUUAUCACCCCCAGAGGAGCCACUAUGUUGGGAAAGGUAGAAGAAUUGAUAGACCCAUAUUCAAGCAAGUGGGAUGAAGAGCUGGUGCGUUCAGUUUUCAAUCCGGUUGAUGUCUACAGAAUUCUGCAAAUCCCACUUCGGGUAGACAUGGUGGAUGAUUUCAUAGCCUGGCACCACACAAAAUCAGGAACGUUCUCAGUUAGAUCAGCGUACCAUGUUGAGUUCGCUCACCAAUAUGGAAAACAGUGGAACAGGACGGAUAGGCAGGGAAGUCAUCGUGAAAAUGAUAUUUGGAAACACAUCUGGAGGAUGCGGAUUCCUGGGAAAAUAAAACACUUUGCCUGGAAAGUUCUCAAGGGCGUCCUACCGUGUUGA